rnacentral:siRNA from 1 species
AAUCAAUAAAUGCAUGACAUGUG